rnacentral:lncRNA from 1 species
AAAAAAGGGGUUGAGAUAGGAGAGAAACACCAUAGUCAUAAAAAUAGCUUGCUUGCUGGAAAUUUAAGGUAGGGGAACUACUCUAAUAAUGGGUGUCAAAUGCACGAAGGGUAGUGAGGGCCCUUACCCUCAUCUAGGUUUUUCUUUCUUUCUAUUGUUGAUAAUGGUGUGUUAUUAAUAUUAAUUGGUGAUGAGUCUGUUAUGAUUGGUGAUAUUAAUAUGAAUUUCAUGUGUUGUAAUUGUGUUAGUUGUUGUUCAUGAUAAUUU